CCGAGUUUUCAACUCCCUAACCCUUAUGUGAACCUACCUAUUGUUGCUUGGCGGACUCGCCCCAGCCGGACGCGGACUGGACCAGCGGCCGCCGAAAGGGACCUCUGCAGUCUAUCAGCAUCGUUCUGAAUAGCGCCGCAAGGCAAAACAAAUAAAUC
rnacentral:rRNA from 1 species